rnacentral:rRNA from 1 species
CGUGCCUAAUACAUGCAAGUCGAGCGAACGGACGAGAAGCUUGCUUCUCUGAUGUUAGCGGCGGACGGGUGAGUAACACGUGGAUAACCUACCUAUAAGACUGGGAUAACUUCGGGAAACCGGAGCUAAUACCGGAUAAUAUUUUGAACCGCAUGGUUCAAAAGUGAAAGACGGUCUUGCUGUCACUUAUAGAUGGAUCCGCGCUGCAUUAGCUAGUUGGUAAGGUAACGGCUUACCAAGGCAACGAUGCAUAGCCGACCUGAGAGGGUGAUCGGCCACACUGGAACUGAGACACGGUCCAGACUCCUACGGGAGGCAGCAGUAGGGAAUCUUCCGCAAUGGGCGAAAGCCUGACGGAGCAACGCCGCGUGAGUGAUGAAGGUCUUCGGAUCGUAAAACUCUGUUAUUAGGGAAGAACAUAUGUGUAAGUAACUGUGCACAUCUUGACGGUACCUAAUCAGAAAGCCACGGCUAACUACGUGCCAGCAGCCGCGGUAAUACGUAGGUGGCAAGCGUUAUCCGGAAUUAUUGGGCGUAAAGCGCGCGUAGGCGGUUUUUUAAGUCUGAUGUGAAAGCCCACGGCUCAACCGUGGAGGGUCAUUGGAAACUGGAAAACUUGAGUGCAGAAGAGGAAAGUGGAAUUCCAUGUGUAGCGGUGAAAUGCGCAGAGAUAUGGAGGAACACCAGUGGCGAAGGCGACUUUCUGGUCUGUAACUGACGCUGAUGUGCGAAAGCGUGGGGAUCAAACAGGAUUAGAUACCCUGGUAGUCCACGCCGUAAACGAUGAGUGCUAAGUGUUAGGGGGUUUCCGCCCCUUAGUGCUGCAGCUAACGCAUUAAGCACUCCGCCUGGGGAGUACGACCGCAAGGUUGAAACUCAAAGGAAUUGACGGGGACCCGCACAAGCGGUGGAGCAUGUGGUUUAAUUCGAAGCAACGCGAAGAACCUUACCAAAUCUUGACAUCCUUUGACAACUCUAGAGAUAGAGCCUUCCCCUUCGGGGGACAAAGUGACAGGUGGUGCAUGGUUGUCGUCAGCUCGUGUCGUGAGAUGUUGGGUUAAGUCCCGCAACGAGCGCAACCCUUAAGCUUAGUUGCCAUCAUUAAGUUGGGCACUCUAAGUUGACUGCCGGUGACAAACCGGAGGAAGGUGGGGAUGACGUCAAAUCAUCAUGCCCCUUAUGAUUUGGGCUACACACGUGCUACAAUGGACAAUACAAAGGGCAGCGAAACCGCGAGGUCAAGCAAAUCCCAUAAAGUUGUUCUCAGUUCGAAUUGUAGUCUGCAACUCGACUACAUGAAGCUGGAAUCGCUAGUAAUCGUAGAUCAGCAUGCUACGGUGAAUACGUUCCCGGGUCUUGUACACACCGCCCGUCACACCACGAGAGUUUGUAACACCCGAAGCCGGUGGAGUAACCUUUUAGGAGCUAGCCGUCGAAGGUGGGACAAAUGAUUGGGGUGAAGUCGUAACAAGGUAGCCGUAUCGGAAGGUGCGGCUGGGUCACCUCCUUUCUAA